rnacentral:rRNA from 1 species
UACAGAGGUCCCAAGCGUUGUUCGGAUUCAUUGGGCGUAAAGGGUGCGUAGGCGGCGCGGUAAGUCGGGUGUGAAAUCUCGGAGCUUAACUCCGAAACUGCAUUCGAUACUGCCGUGCUUGAGGACUGGAGAGGAGACUGGAAUUUACGGUGUAGCGGUGAAAUGCGUAGAUAUCGUAAGGAAGACCAGUGGCGGAAGGCGGGUCUCUGGACAGUUCCUGACGUGAGGCACGAAGGCCAGGGGAGCAAACGGG